UGUUCUAUGACCAUUGACUAUAGAGUGAUGAACUAUUUACCACGAUAUAUCUUAAUUCGUGCUAUUUACUAAUGCAUUCUCCGUGGUUUACACUUUCCCCUAUCAGUGCGUAUUCCAGACCUUAUUAUUGAUAACACCACACCACCACAAAUUAUAUCACGAUUCACUAUUUAUGACAAUCUUGAAUCUACAACUAUAUUCAUUUAAAAAUUAAAAUAAAUGUUUUAGAAUUUAUUCAAAUAAUCAAAUUACAAAAUUAAAAAUAUCUGAUAAAUUUAAUUCUUAUUUAAUUCGUCAUGCAUUCAAUACUUCAAAACAUCUUUGAUCAUACGAACCACGAUAACCAUUUCCUAAUGUUCACGAACAAAUCAUUUAUAGUUGAAAGUCGACUGCUACUUUAUUACCCACUGUUUGCAUGGUUGCUGUGUUUGGUGCUUACGUUAUAAACUACAAAAGUAAACAAAAUUCUAUGAUACUAGAUUUGCUGUAAGACUGUGAUGUUUCUUCAACGUCUAUCUGGGAAUUAUUUAAAUUUUCGAAUAAAAGUAUCUGUUUGUAAAUGGGAAAGAUUGUAUAUCGUCUCUGAAAGUCUGAACUAACAAAUAGAAUUAUGAUUGUGAGGAAUCUACAGAAUUACUAAGGCCAUAACAAUCACUCAAUAAAACAUUCAUUGAUGAUCCAAGAUUAUAAAAUAUAAUGUCAAGAGUCAAGACCACAUUUAGAAGGGUUCACAUUCAUUAUGUAUUUGAAUUGGAACCAAAGAAAUUGUCCUUGUUACUGGAUUACCGUCUUACAGAAGUUUUGUCUUACCGAAGUUUUACUGUAAUAAGUAUUUUAGGUAAAUAUUGGAGAUGAUAAAUCAUUCUGGCAGAAAAAAAGAUACCCGGUAUACAGCGCUAAAAUGUUUUGUUCAAAUCAAGUUCCUGGCCCAUUACGAAGCUUCUUUACAAUGAGUACUUUGGAUACCAUACAAUUUCAUUUCAUUUGUCUUCCGCAACUAUUGAAAAAAUGAAAUUGGCUGGGAAAAAAAUCAAAAACUCAAUACUAUGUAAAGGAAACUACACAACACUAACAAUUUUGUAGUUAAAAACUACUUAAGCUUAAUUAUUGUAAAAAUAUUAACUCUUUAAGCCGAGAUACAUAAAAAAAUGUUUAAUUUAGUGGUUUACUAAAAUGUAAUAGAUCAACCACUAAAUCUAUUUCACAGCUCACCAUUAAUUCUCUGAAUAUUCAGUAAUAGUUUCAUAUGUCUCAGUUAAAUUUUUACUAUUUAGUUUAAUAUAAAUUAUAAUAUGUAAAAAUAGUGGGCAUUUACUAUUUAGUAUAUUAAAUGUCCUCAACAAAAAUAAUUCAACUUUUGUAAACUCAGUAGAAUCUUCCAAGAUUAAAGAUAAUAAAUUGGCAAUUUUUAUUUUAUUA